rnacentral:siRNA from 1 species
GCAUCUAACUUAUGAGAACGAGGUG